rnacentral:rRNA from 1 species
GAUGAACGCUAGUCGGCAGGCUUAACACAUGCAAGUCGAGGGGCAGCAUAAUGGUAGUAAUACUAUUGAUGGCGACCGGCGGACGGGUGCGUAACGCGUAUGCAACCUACCCUUUACAGGGGGAUAACACUGAGAAAUCGGUACUAAUACCCCAUAAUAUUCUGGGAGGCAUCUUCGGAGUUGAAAGCUUUGGUGGUAAAGGAUGGGCAUGCGUUCCAUUAGGCAGUUGGCGGGGUAACGGCCCACCAAACCGACGAUGGAUAGGGGUUCUGAGAGGAAGGUCCCCCACAUUGGUACUGAGACACGGACCAAACUCCUACGGGAGGCAGCAGUGAGGAAUAUUGGCCAAUGGCCGAGAGGCUGAACCAGCCAAGUCGCGUGAGGGAUGAAGGUUCUAUGGAUCGUAAACCUCUUUUAUAAGGGAAUAAAGUGCGGGACGUGUCCCGUUUUGUAUGUACCUUAUGAAUAAGGAUCGGCUAACUCCGUG